rnacentral:lncRNA from 1 species
CAGCAGAAGAACUCCUUCCUGGUGAUGGAAUCAGCCACGGCUUUUGCCCUCGGUUAAGAAAAGGAGGAGGUAGUGAGAGAAAGGAGGAGGAGGGCGAUCCUGUUAACAAACCGAGCUAAACAAGCUGCUGGGAGCUGCAGGAGCAGAGCAUGCCCUCAUUGAUAUUGAAAUCAGGUGCAAUCCAUCACUGCGAGCAGGGCCCUUUCAUGGGCAGCUGAAAAGAGCCACUCUCAAAGGGAAGGGGAAAAACUUGUUCAGGGGAAGGGCGAACCAAAGCGUGGCAGGUGUGAUAUGGAGAGGGAUGCUGUCAGCACCAGACAGUGAUUCAUUGCUGUGCCAUCACUGGGGUCGGUGCAGAGUGUGGGCAGCAAAAUGUCCCCUGGGCUUGGGGACAUGCUGGGUGUUGUCAGGGUCUUCCACAGAGGGGGGAUGGUUCAUGUCCCAGGGUGGGGAAGUUGGAAUGCCCGCACCAGAGCUGGGAGGAGGUAGCCAUGGUGCAGCCAUGGGACGUGAACCUCCAGGGGACCCAAGCUCCUUCCACCUGUGCACGAAUGAAAACAUAACACAAAGUGAAAUUAUGUUUGGUUUCUUCAGUCUCAAACUGACCUUCCACUGAGCCCAGAGGUCACCACUGGCUCCAGCAGAUCCGCAUGCAGCGGGGACCAGCUCCCCCAGGGUCUGCUUCAAAUGGGCACCACUGGGAGGAGAGGGCACCGCAGACAGAACCCAUCCAUGGGCUCCCCCAAAACUGCCUCCCCUUAUGCUGCAGUUGCAGCAUGGGCUCAAGGCCCCAAUGCUCUCACCCCACAGGGUGCUGCCUUUCAGUGUGUGCACGCAGGGUCAGCCCGGAGUCAUCCUGCGGCAGCCAACGGCUUUAAAGCGGAGUGAUGCCAAAUCUGUCCCAGCGUCCCAGCGCUCAGCCUUUGGCCCCAGCUCCCCGCACCUGGACACAAUCACGGAGCCAUCUGAGGAAUGGGAAAAAGCCAUCACGCUGCACUUCACCACCAGCUGCUGUUUAUUUACCCGGGGUCCUUCCUACCCAGCAAAAUCUGAGCGGGGGACGGGCGCUUCCCACCCACUCUGGGGACGAUGCGGGGUGCGGGGGAUGCUCCGUUGGCCGGGGGGAGCUGUGAAAGGACCACGGCAGAAGAAAGCCAUACAAACUCUGGAGUUAAUUAAUCGAUGGACAGAAAGGCUGGGACGUGCUGGCUGCAGCUAUGAGAGCAAUUCUGCUCCAAUGGGAAAAGAUUUUCUUCCCCAAGGCUGCCCCUCACAUUGUGCCACACUCCGCAUUGGCCACGGGUGGGACCAUCAGGCUGCUCUGCACCCUACCCAGCAGCUCCUGUGCUCCCACAUCCAGGACAGGCGAUGUGAGUGGGCUGAGUUCAUGGUGUGGUGGAUGCCAGGACUUCCAGCUCCUUGCUGAGCGAACUUGGCCAUGACACACCAUCACUUCGUGCUUUUUACCUGCUGUAAACUUUAAACAUUUUUUGGCAGAGCAGCUACCUACAGCACCCUGCACCACCGUGCACUUGUGAGCCUUGUGAUACUCCCACUUAUCAUAUGGACAUGAUGGCACAUGAGAGAGCAGCCCGCAAGGGAAUCUCCUCCUGUAGCCCUGGGAUAAGGGGAUUUGUCCCAGGAGCUGGACUCCGGCACCCAGCACAGGCAGGCAUUCCUCACAGGAAGGAAGAGCAUCCUGGGCUGCAUCUGUGCCAUUGUGCUCAGCUGAAUGGUGGGAAGGGGAGCUGGGGGGAGAAUUAAAUUUGCACCCUGAUCCAGGAGAUUAGUUUCCCAUUAUUGUUGUAGGAAUAAUAAAAAAUUGUUGGCUGCAUUGUUCCUCA